CCUACGGGGGGCUGCAGUGGGGAAUCUUGCGCAAUGGCCGAAAGGCUGACGCAGCGACGCCGCGUGCGGGAUGAAGGCCUUCGGGUCGUAAACCGCUGUUGCCCGGGACGAACAACCCGUUUCGACGGGUCUGACGGUACCGGGUGAGGAAGCACCGGCUAACUCCGUGCCAGCAGCCGCGGUAAUACGGAGGGUGCGAGCGUUGUCCGGAAUCACUGGGCGUAAAGGGCGCGUAGGCGGCUGGGUAAGCGUGCGGUGAAAGCUUGGGGCUCAAC
rnacentral:rRNA from 1 species